UACGUAGGGGUGCGAGCGUUUGUCCGGAAUUAUUGGGCGUAAAGAGCUUGUAGGUGGUUUGUCGCGUCUGCUGUGAAAAUCCGAGGCUCAACCUCGGACUUGCAGUGGGUACGGGGCAGACUAGAGUGUGGUAGGGGGAGACUGGAAUUCCUGGUGGUAGCGGUGGAAUGCGCAGAUAUCAGGAGGAACACCGAUGGCGAAGGCAGGUCUCUGGGCAUUAACUGACGCUGAGGAGCGAAAGCAUGGGGGAGCGAACAGG
rnacentral:rRNA from 1 species